rnacentral:lncRNA from 1 species
AAACUUCAGAGGUGAAUUUGGAGGUUCUAAAGUUUUCAAACUCGCCAAUGGAGGGGACAGAGAGAUCCGAAAUUUUUUUCUGAUCGAUUUUGAUAUAUUGAACGUUGAAAUCAGAGCUCGUAUGCGAAAGUUAUGGCUAUUUUACAAACAGACUCCAAAUUAGAGGACAAAAUGGUCCGAAAGUGGGAAAAAUUUGCGGCGGUGGCUAGAAAUUGAUGGAAACGGUGGGGGAAAAUACAUGAACUGGACUCUAACAAGACCUAACCAGCAAUAAGACCUCGACGAGGACACAAACUCAACACUGCGGACUCUGAAACUGAAAUAUGCAAAGGCUAUGACGUCGAAGGGUUGUAGGACAAGAAAACGAUAUGACACUGCACUUAUGGGACGAACACAAGAACACUCAAAACUAAGGGUAGAUGUGAACUUAAUGGUAUACCUAAAGCUUUGAUUCCCACAUGAUGAGAACAAGGGUGACCCGAUCUUCUAAAAGGUUCUGGUAACUCUCGAUUUGGUGGAGACGAGACACAAAUCGAUCCGGCUUCCGAACAACACGAUCCGAAACCCUGCAAUUUUUUUUAUUUUUUUGAUAUUUUUAUUUUAGUUAGAGCACCAAAGGAGUGACCACAUAAAAUUUGAGCUUAAACCAGUGAAAGACAUGGCCUACGAAAAUUUCUGAAAAUUGUGAAAAAUGUGAAAAAAACAUCAUGAGGUGAAAACUCAAACUUCAGUUGUGAAUUUGGAGGUCCUAAAAUUUGCAAACCAGCCAAGGGAGGGGACAGACAGAUCCGAAAUUUUUUUCUGAUCGAUUUUGAUAUAUGGAACAUUGAAAUCGGAGCUCGUAUGCGAAAGUUAUGGCUAUUUUACGAACGGACUCCAAAUUAGAGGACAAAACGGUGCGAAAGUGGGCAAAAUUUACGGUGGUGGCUAGAAAUUGAUGGAAACGGUGGGGGAAAUUACAUGAACUGAACUCUAACAAGACCUAACCAGCAACAAGACCUCGACGAGGACACAAACUCAACACUGCGGACUCUAAAACUGAAAUAUGCAAAGGCUAUGGCGUGGAAGGGUUGUAGGACAGAAAAACGAUAUGACACUGGACUUAUGGGACGGACACAAGAACACUCGAAACUAAGGGUAGAUUUGAACCUAAUGGUAUAUCUAAAUCUUUGAUUUCCACAUGAUGAGAAAAAGGGUGACCCGAUCUUCUGAAAGGUUCUGGUAACUCUUGAUUUGGUGGAGACGAGACACAAAUCGAUCCGGGUUCCGAACAACACGAUCCGAAACCCUACAAUUUUUUUUUAUUUUUUUGAUAUUUUUCUUUUAGUUAGAGCACCAAUGGAGUAACCACAGAAAAUUUGAGCUUAAACCAGUGAAAAACAUGGCCUACGAAAAUUUCUGAAAAUUGUGAAAAAUGUGAAAAACAUCACGAGGUGAAAACUCAAACUUCGGAGGUGAAUUUGGAGGUUCUAAAUUUUCAAACCUACCAAUGGAGUGACAAACAGAUCCAAAAUUUUUUCUGAUCGAUUUUGAUAUAUGGAACGUUGUAAACGGAGCUCGUAUGUGAAAGUUAUGGCUAUUUUACGAACGGACUCCAAGUUAGAGGACAAAACGGUCCGAAAGUGGGAAAAAUUUGCGGUGGUGGCUAGAAAUUGAUGGAAACGGUGGGGGAAAAUACAUGAACUGGACUCUAACAAGACCUAACCAGCAACAAGACCUCGACAAGGACACAAACUCAACACUGCGGACUCUGAAACUGAAAUAUGCAAAGGCUAUGACGCGGAAGGGUUGUAGGACAAGAAAACGAUAUGACACAGGACUUAUGGGACGAACCAAGAACACUCGAAACUAAAGGUAGAUGUGAACCUAACGGUAUACCUAAAGCUUUGAUUUCCACAUAUGAGAACAAGGGUGACCCGAUCUUCUGAAGUUCUGGUAACUCUCGAUUUGGUGGAGACGAGACACAAAUCGAUCCGUCUUCCGAACAACACGAUCCGAAACCCUGCAUUUUUUUUUGAUAUUUUUCUUUUAGUUAGAGCACCAAAGGAGUGACCACAGAAAAUUUGAGCUUAAACUAGUGAAAGACAUGGCCUACAAAAAUUUCUGAAAAUUAUGUAAAAUGUGAAAAAAAAACAUCACGAGGUGAAAACUCAAACUUCAGAGGUGAAUUUGGAGGUUCUAAAGUUUUCAAACUCGCCAAUGGAGGGGACAGAGAGAUCCAAAAUUUUUUUCUGAUCGAUUUUGAUAUAUUGAACGUUGAAAUCAGAGCUCGUAUGCGAAAGUUAUGGCUAUUUUACAAACAGACUCCAAAUUAGAGGACAAAAUGGUCCGAAAGUGGGAAAAAUUUACGGCGGUGGUUAGAAAUUGAUGGAAACGGUGGGGGAAAAUACAUGAACUGGACUCUAACAAGACCUAACCAGCAAUAAGACCUCGACGAGGACACAAACUCAACACUGCGGACUCUGAAACUGAAAUAUGCAAAGGCUAUGACGUGGAAGGGUUGUAGGACAAGAAACGAUAUGACACUGCACUUAUGGGACGAACACAAGAACACUCAAAACUAAGGGUAGAUGUGAACCUAAAGGUAUACCUAAAGCUUUGAUUCCCACAUGAUGAGAACAAGGGUGACCCGAUCUUCUAAAAGGUUCUGGUAACUCUCGAUUUGGUGGAGACGAGACACAAAUCGAUCCGGCUUCCGAACAACACGAUCCGAAACCCUGCAAAUUUUUUUAUUUUUUUGAUAUUUUUCUUUUAGUUAGAGCACCAAAGGAGUGACCACAGAAAAUUUGAGCUUAAACCAGUGAAAGACAUGGCCUACGAAAAUUUCUGAAAAUUGUGAAAAAUGUGAAAAAAACAUCAUGAGGUGAAAACUCAAACUUCAGUUGUGAAUUUGGAGGUCCUAAAAUUUGCAAACCAGCCAAGGGAGGGGACAGACAGAUCCGAAAUUUUUUUCUGAUCGAUUUUGAUAUAUGGAACAUUGAAAUCGGAGCUCGUAUGCGAAAGUUAUGGCUAUUUUACGAACGGACUCCAAAUUAGAGGACAAAACGGUGCGAAAGUGGGCAAAAUUUACGGUGGUGGCUAGAAAUUGAUGGAAACGGUGGGGGAAAAUACAUGAACUGGACUCUAACAAGACCUAACCAGCAACAAGACCUCGACAAGGACACAAACUCAACACUGCGGACUCUGAAACUGAAAUAUGCAAAGGCUAUGACGCGGAAGGGUUGUAGGACAAGAAAACGAUAUGACACAGGAGUUAUGGGACGAACCAAGAACACUCGAAACUAAAGGUAGAUGUGAACCUAACGGUAUACCUAAAGCUUUGAUUUCCACAUAUGAGAACAAGGGUGAACCGAUCUUCUAAAAGGUUCUGGUAACUCUCGAUUUGGUGGAGACGAGACACAAAUCGAUCCGGGUUCCGAACAACACGAUCCGAAACCCUGCAAUUUUUUUUAUUUUUUUUGAUAUUUUUCUUUUAGUUAGAGCACCAAAGGAGUAACCACAGAAAAUUUGAGCUUAAACCAGUGAAAAACAUGGCCUACGAAAAUUUCUGAAAAUUGUGAAAAAUGUGAAAAACAUCACGAGGUGAAAACUCAAACUUCGGAGGUGAAUUUGGAGGUUCUAAAUUUUCAAACCUACCAAUGGAGUGACAAACAGAUCCAAAAUUUUUUCUGAUCGAUUUUGAUAUAUGGAACGUUGUAAACGGAGCUCGUAUGUGAAAGUUAUGGCUAUUUUACGAACGGACUCCAAGUUAGAGGACAAAACGGUCCGAAAGUGGGAAAAAUUUGCGGUGGUGGCUAGAAAUUGAUGGAAACGGUGGGGGAAAAUACAUGAACUGGACUCUAACAAGACCUAACCAGCAACAAGACCUCGACAAGGACACAAACUCAACACUGCGGACUCUGAAACUGAAAUAUGCAAAGGCUAUGACGCGGAAGGGUUGUAGGACAAGAAAACGAUAUGACACAGGACUUAUGGGACGAACCAAGAACACUCGAAACUAAAGGUAGAUGUGAACCUAACGGUAUACCUAAAGCUUUGAUUUCCACAUAUGAGAACAAGGGUGACCCGAUCUUCUGAAGUUCUGGUAACUCUCGAUUUGGUGGAGACGAGACACAAAUCGAUCCGUCUUCCGAACAACACGAUCCGAAACCCUGCAUUUUUUUUUGAUAUUUUUCUUUUAGUUAGAGCACCAAAGGAGUGACCACAGAAAAUUUGAGCUUAAACUAGUGAAAGACAUGGCCUACAAAAAUUUCUGAAAAUUAUGUAAAAUGUGAAAAAAAAACAUCACGAGGUGAAAACUCAAACUUCAGAGGUGAAUUUGGAGGUUCUAAAGUUUUCAAACUCGCCAAUGGAGGGGACAGAGAGAUCCAAAAUUUUUUUCUGAUCGAUUUUGAUAUAUUGAACGUUGAAAUCAGAGCUCGUAUGCGAAAGUUAUGGCUAUUUUACAAACAGACUCCAAAUUAGAGGACAAAAUGGUCCGAAAGUGGGAAAAAUUUGCGGCGGUGGCUAGAAAUUGAUGGAAACGGUGGGGGAAAAUACAUGAACUGGACUCUAACAAGACCUAACCAGCAAUAAGACCUCGACGAGGACACAAACUCAACACUGCGGACUCUGAAACUGAAAUAUGCAAAGGCUAUGACGUGGAAGGGUUGUAGGACAAGAAAACGAUAUGACACUGCACUUAUGGGACGAACACAAGAACACUCAAAACUAAGGGUAGAUGUGAACCUAAUGGUAUACCUAAAGCUUUGAUUCCCACAUGAUGAGAACAAGGGUGACCCGAUCUUCUAAAAGGUUCUGGUAACUCUCGAUUUGGUGGAGACGAGACACAAAUCGAUCCGGCUUCCGAACAACACGAUCCGAAACCCUGCAAUUUUUUUUAUUUUUUUGAUAUUUUUCUUUUAGUUAGAGCACCAAAGGAGUGACCACAGAAAAUUUGAGCUUAAACCAGUGAAAGACUUGGCCUACGAAAAUUUCUGAAAAUUAUGUAAAAUGUGAAAAAAAAACAUCACAAGGUGAAAACUCAAAAUUCAGAGGUGAAUUUGGAGGUUCUAAAGUUUUCAAACUCGCCAAUAGAGGGGACAGAGAGAUCCGAAAUUUUUUUCUGAUCGACUUUGAUAUAUUGAACGUUGAAAUCAGAGCUCGUAUGCGAAAGUUAUGGCUAUUUUACAAACAGACUCCAAAUUAGAGGACAAAAUGGUCCGAAAGUGGGAAAAAUUUGCGGCGGUGGCUACAAAUUGAUGGAAACGGUGGGGGAAAAUACAUGAACUGGACUCUAACAAGACCUAACCAGCAAUAAGACCUCGACGAGGACACAAACUCAACGCUGCGGACUCUGAAACUGAAAUAUGCAAAGGCUAUGACGUGGAAGGGUUGUAGGACAAGAAAACGAUAUGACACUGCACUUAUGGGACGAACACAAGAACACUCAAAACUAAGGCUAGAUGUGAACCUAAUGGUAUACCUAAAGCUUUGAUUCCCACAUGAUGAGAACAAGGGUGACCCGAUCUUCUAAAAGGUUCUGGUAACUCUCGAUUUGGUGCAGACGAGACACAAAUCGAUCCGGCUUNNNNNNNNNNNNNNNNNNNNNNNNNNNNNNNNNNNNNNNNNNNNNNNNNNNNNNNNNNNNNNNNNNNNNNNNNNNNNNNNNNNNNNNNNNNNNNNNNNNNAAACAUCAUGAGGUGAAAACUCAAACUUCAGUUGUGAAUUUGGAGGUCCUCAAAUUUUCAAACCAACCAAGGGAGGGGACAGACAGAUCCGAAAUUUUUUUCUGAUCGAUUUUGAUAUAUGGAACAUUGAAAUCGGAGCUCGUAUGCGAAAGUUAUGGCUAUUUUACAAACGGACUCCAAAUUAGAGGACAAAACGGUGCGAAAGUGGGCAAAAUUUACGGUGGUGGCUAGAAAUUGAUGGAAACGGUGGGGGAAAAUACAUGAACUGGACUCUAACAAGACCUAACCAGCAACAAGACCUCGACGAGGACACAAACUCAACACUGCGGACUCUAAAACUGAAAUAUGCAAAGGCUAUGACGUGGAAGGGUUGUAGGACAAGAAAACGAUAUGACACUGCACUUAUGGGACGAACACAAGAACACUCAAAACUAAGGGUAGAUGUGAACCUAAUGGUAUACCUAAAGCUUUGAUUCCCACAUGAUGAGAACAAGGGUGACCCGAUCUUCUAAAAGGUUCUGGUAACUCUCGAUUUGGUGGAGACGAGACACAAAUCGAUCCGGCUUCCGAACAACACGAUCCGAAACCCUGCAAUUUUUUUUAUUUUUUUGAUAUUUUUCUUUUAGUUAGAGCACCAAAGGAGUGACCACAGAAAAUUUGAGCUUAAACCAGUGAAAGACUUGGCCUACGAAAAUUUCUGAAAAUUAUGUAAAAUGUGAAAAAAAAACAUCACAAGGUGAAAACUCAAAAUUCAGAGGUGAAUUUGGAGGUUCUAAAGUUUUCAAACUCGCCAAUAGAGGGGACAGAGAGAUCCGAAAUUUUUUUCUGAUCGACUUUGAUAUAUUGAACGUUGAAAUCAGAGCUCGUAUGCGAAAGUUAUGGCUAUUUUACAAACAGACUCCAAAUUAGAGGACAAAAUGGUCCGAAAGUGGGAAAAAUUUGCGGCGGUGGCUACAAAUUGAUGGAAACGGUGGGGGAAAAUACAUGAACUGGACUCUAACAAGACCUAACCAGCAAUAAGACCUCGACGAGGACACAAACUCAACGCUGCGGACUCUGAAACUGAAAUAUGCAAAGGCUAUGACGUGGAAGGGUUGUAGGACAAGAAAACGAUAUGACACUGCACUUAUGGGACGAACACAAGAACACUCAAAACUAAGGCUAGAUGUGAACCUAAUGGUAUACCUAAAGCUUUGAUUCCCACAUGAUGAGAACAAGGGUGACCCGAUCUUCUAAAAGGUUCUGGUAACUCUCGAUUUGGUGGAGACGAGACACAAAUCGAUCCGGCUUCCGAACAACACGAUCCGAAACCCUGCAAAUUUUUUUAUUUUUUAGAUAUUUUUCUUUUAGUUAGAGCACCAAAGGAGUGACCACAGAAAAUUUGAGCUUAAACCAGUGAAAGACAUGGCCUACGAAAAUUGCUGAAAAUUGUGAAAAAUGUGAAAAAAACAUCAUGAGGUGAAAACUCAAACUUCAGUUGUGAAUUUGGAGGUCCUAAAAUUUGCAAACCAGCCAAGGGAGGGGACAGACAGAUCCGAAAUUUUUUUCUGAUCGAUUUUGAUAUAUGGAACAUUGAAAUCGGAGCUCGUAUGCGAAAGUUAUGGCUAUUUUACGAACGGACUCCAAAUUAGAGGACAAAACGGUGCGAAAGUGGGCAAAAUUUACGGUGGUGGCUAGAAAUUGAUGGAAACGGUGGGGGAAAAUACAUGAACUGGACUCUAACAAGACCUAACCAGCAACAAGACCUCGACGAGGACACAAACUCAACACUGCGGACUCUAAAACUGAAAUAUGCAAAGGCUAUGGCGUGGAAGGGUUGUAGGACAGAAAAACGAUAUGACACUGGACUUAUGGGACGAACACAAGAACACUCGAAACUAAGGGUAGAUUUGAACCUAAUGGUAUAUCUAAAUCUUUGAUUUCCACAUGAUGAGAACAAGGGUGACCCGAUCUUCUGAAAGGUUCUGGUAACUCUUGAUUUGGUGGAGACGAGACACAAAUCGAUCCGGGUUCCGAACAACACGAUCCGAAACCCUACAAUUUUUUUUUAUUUUUUUGAUAUUUUUCUUUUAGUUAGAGCACCAAUGGAGUAACCACAGAAAAUUUGAGCUUAAACCAGUGAAAAACAUGGCCUACGAAAAUUUCUGAAAAUUGUGAAAAAUGUGAAAAAGCAUCACGAGGUGGAAACUCAAACUUCAGAGGUGAAUUUGGAGGUUCUAAAUUUUCAAACCUACCAAUGGAGUGACAAACAGAUCCAAAAUGUUUUCUGAUCGAUUUUGAUAUAUGGAACGUUGUAAACGGAGCUCGUAUGUGAAAGUUAUGGCUAUUUUACGAACGGACUCCAAGUUAGAGGACAAAACGGUCCGAAAGUGGGAAAAAUUUGCGGUGGUGGCUAGAAAUUGAUGGAAACGGUGGGGGAAAAUACAUGAACUGGACUCUAACAAGACCUAACCAGCAACAAGACCUCGACGAGGACACAAACUCAACACUUCGGACUCUAAAACUGAAAUAUGCAAAGGCUAUGGCGUGGAAGGGUUGUAGGACAGAAAAACGAUAUGACACUGGACUUAUGGGACGAACACAAGAACACUCGAAACUAAGGGUAGAUUUGAACCUAAUGGUAUAUCUAAAUCUUUGAUUUCCACAUGAUGAGAACAAGGGUGACCCGAUCUUCUGAAAGGUUCUGGUAACUCUUGAUUUGGUGGAGACGAGACACAAAUCGAUCCGGGUUCCGAACAACACGAUCCGAAACCCUACAAUUUUUUUAUUUUUUUGAUAUUUUUAUUUUAGUUAGAGCACCAAUGG